GAUGAACGCUGGCGGCGUGCCUAACACAUGCAAGUCGAACGGAGAUUACGGACGGAAGUUUUCGGAUGGAAGCCUGUAAUUCUUAGUGGCGGACGGGUGAGUAACGCGUGGGCAACCUGCCCUAUACAGGGGGAUAGCAGCUGGAAACGGCUGGUAAGACCGCAUAAGUCGGUUAAAUCGCAUGAUUUGAUCGGGAAAUGAGCAAUCAGGUAUAGGAUGGGCCCGCGUCCGAUUAGCCAGUUGGCAGGGUAAAAGCCUACCAAAGCGACGAUCGGUAGCCGGACUGAGAGGUCGGACGGCCACAUUGGGACUGAGACACGGCCCAAACUCCUACGGGAGGCAGCAGUGGGGGAUAUUGCACAAUGGAGGAAACUCUGAUGCAGCGACGCCGCGUGAGUGAAGAAGUAUUUCGGUAUGUAAAGCUCUAUCAGCAGGGAAGAUGAUGACGGUACCUGACUGAGAAGCCCCGGCUAACUACGUG
rnacentral:rRNA from 1 species